GUGCCAGCCGCCGCGGUAAUACCGGCAGUCCUACUGAUGGCCGAUAUUAUUGCCCCUAAAGCGUCCGUAGCCGGCCGCCCAAGUCCGUUGGGAAAUCGACGCGCUCUACGCGUCGGCGUCCAGCGGAAACUGUCCGGCUUGGGGCCGGAAGACCUGAGCCGUACGUCCGGGGUAGGAGUGAAAUCCUGUAAUCCUGGACGGACCACCAAUGGGGAAACCACCUCAGGAAGACGGACCCGACGGUGAGGGACGAAAGCUAGGGUCUCGAACCGGAUUAGAUACCCCGGUAGUCC
rnacentral:rRNA from 1 species